UACGUAGGGUGCGAGCGUUAAUCGGAAUUACUGGGCGUAAAGCGUGCGCAGGCGGUUUUGUAAGCCAGAUGUGAAAUCCCCGGGCUUAACCUGGGAAUGGCAUUUGGGACUGCAAGGCUGGAGUGCGGCAGAGGAGACUGGAAUUCCUGGUGUAGCAGUGAAAUGCGUAGAUAUCAGGAGGAACACCGAUGGCGAAGGCAGCCCCCUGGGCCAAUACUGACGCUCAUGCACGAAAGCGUGGGGAGCAAACAGG
rnacentral:rRNA from 1 species